AGAGUUUGAUCCUGGCUCAGGAUGAACGCUGACAGAAUGCUUAACACAUGCAAGUCUACUUGAUCCUUCGGGUGAUGGUGGCGGACGGGUGAGUAACGCGUAAAGAACUUGCCCUGCAGUCUGGGACAACAUUUGGAAACGAAUGCUAAUACCGGAUAUUAUGUGAGUUUCGCAUGAAAUUCAUAUGAAAGCUAUAUGCGCUGCAGGAGAGCUUUGCGUCCUAUUAGCUAGUUGGUGAGGUAACGGCUCACCAAGGCGAUGAUAGGUAGCCGGCCUGAGAGGGUGAACGGCCACAAGGGGACUGAGACACGGCCCUUACUCCUACGGGAGGCAGCAGUGGGGAAUAUUGGACAAUGGACCAAAAGUCUGAUCCAGCAAUUCUGUGUGCACGAUGAAGUUUUUCGGAAUGUAAAGUGCUUUCAGUUGGGACGAAGUAAGUGACGGUACCAACAGAAGAAGCGACGGCUAAAUACGUGCCAGCAGCCGCGGUAAUACGUAUGUCGCAAGCGUUAUCCGGAUUUAUUGGGCGUAAAGCGCGUCUAGGCGGUUUGGUAAGUCUGAUGUGAAAAUGCGGGGCUCAACUCCGUAUUGCGUUGGAAACUGCCAAACUAGAGUACUGGAGAGGUGGGCGGAACUACAAGUGUAGAGGUGAAAUUCGUAGAUAUUUGUAGGAAUGCCGAUGGGGAAGCCAGCCCACUGGACAGAUACUGACGCUAAAGCGCGAAAGCGUGGGUAGCAAACAGGAUUAGAUACCCUGGUAGUCCACGCCGUAAACGAUGAUUACUAGGUGUUGGGGGUCGAACCUCAGCGCCCAAGCUAACGCGAUAAGUAAUCCGCCUGGGGAGUACGUACGCAAGUAUGAAACUCAAAGGAAUUGACGGGGACCCGCACAAGCGGUGGAGCAUGUGGUUUAAUUCGACGCAACGCGAGGAACCUUACCAGCGUUUGACAUCCUAAGAAAUUAGCAGAGAUGCUUUUGUGCCCCUUCGGGGGAACUUGGUGACAGGUGGUGCAUGGCUGUCGUCAGCUCGUGUCGUGAGAUGUUGGGUUAAGUCCCGCAACGAGCGCAA
rnacentral:rRNA from 1 species